rnacentral:tRNA from 1 species
AGGGGUAUAGCCAGUGGCAGAACACAUGCUUAGUAUGCAUGAAGUCCUGGGUUCAAUCCCCAAUACCUCCA